CCUACGGGGGCAGCAGUGGGGAAUAUUGCACAAUGGGGGAAACCCUGAUGCAGCAACGCCGCGUGAGUGAAGAAGUAUUUCGGUAUGUAAAGCUCUAUCAGCAGGGAAGAAGAUGACGGUACCUGACCAAGAAGCCCCGGCUAAAUACGUGCCAGCAGCCGCGGUAAUACGUAUGGUGCAAGCGUUAUCCGGAUUUACUGGGUGUAAAGGGAGCGCAGGCGGCACGGCAAGCCUGAUGUGAAAGCCCGCGGCCCAACCGCGGGACUGCAUUGGGAACUACCGGGCUGGAGUGCCGGAGAGGUAGG
rnacentral:rRNA from 1 species